UACGAAGGGGGCUAGCGUUGUUCGGAAUUACUGGGCGUAAAGCGCGCGCAGGCGGUCUUUCAAGUCAGUGGUGAAAGCCCGGAGCUCAACUCCGGAAAUGCCAUUGAAACUGUAAGACUUGAGGAUGAGAGAGGUGAGUGGAAUUCCCAGUGUAGAGGUGAAAUUCGUAGAUAUUGGGAAGAACACCGGUGGCGAAGGCGGCUCACUGGCUCAUAUCUGACGCUCAGGCGCGAAAGCGUGGGGAGCAAACAGG
rnacentral:rRNA from 1 species